rnacentral:rRNA from 1 species
UACAGAGGUCCCAAGCGUUGUUCGGAUUCACUGGGCGUAAAGGGUGCGUAGGCGGUCGGGUAAGUCUGGCGUGAAAUCUCGAGGCUCAACCUCGAAACUGCACUUGAUACUGCCUUGCUCGAGUACUGGAGAGGAGAUUGGAAUUUACGGUGUAGCAGUGAAAUGCGUAGAUAUCGUAAGGAAGACCAGUGGCGAAGGCGAAUCUCUGGACAGUUACUGACACUGAGGCACGAAGGCCAGGGGAGCAAACGGG